UUGGUCUUGCAUCGAUUAGAAGCAGCGGCUGCGAUAAGUAUUGGAGUUGCAGAAUUCAGUGAAUCAGCGAAUCUUUGAACGCACAUGGCGGCCGCCGGUAUUCGGCGGAAUUGCCUGGUCGAGUUCAUUUAACCCUCAGGCUUCGCUUGGUGUGGGGA
rnacentral:rRNA from 1 species